GGGGCCAUAGCUCAGUUGGGAGAGCGGGAGCUUUGCAAGCUUCAGGUCGUCGUUCGAUCCCGUCUGGCUCCA